CCUACGGGAGACAGCAGUGGGGAAUAUUGGGCAAUGGGCGCAAGCCUGACCCAGCAACGCCGCGUGAAGGAAGAAGGCUUUCGGGUUGUAAACUUCUUUUAAGGGGGAAGAGCAGAAGACGGUACCCCUUGAAUAAGCCACGGCUAACUACGUGCCAGCAGCCGCGGUAAUACGUAGGUGGCAAGCGUUGUCCGGAUUUACUGGGUGUAAAGGGCGUGCAGCCGGAGAGACAAGUCAGAUGUGAAAUCCACGGGCUCAACCCGUGAACUGCAUUUGAAACUGUUUCCCCUGAGUGUCGGAGAGGUAAUCGGAAUUCCUUGUGUAGCGGUGAAAUGCGUAGAUAUAAGGAAGAACACCAGUGGCGAAGGCGGAUUACUGGACGAUAACUGACGGUGAGGCGCGAAAGCGUGUGGAGCAAACAGGAUUAGAUACCCCAGUAGUC
rnacentral:rRNA from 1 species